rnacentral:rRNA from 1 species
AUUGAACGCUGGCGGCAUGCCUUACACAUGCAAGUCGAACGGUAACGCGGGGCAACCUGGCGACGAGUGGCGAACGGGUGAGUAAUAUAUCGGAACGUGCCCAGUAGUGGGGGAUAGCCCGGCGAAAGCCGGAUUAAUACCGCAUACGACCUACGGGUGAAAGCGGGGGAUCGCAAGACCUCGCGCUAUUGGAGCGGCCGAUAUCAGAUUAGGUAGUUGGUGGGGUAAAGGCCUACCAAGCCUACGAUCUGUAGCUGGUCUGAGAGGACGACCAGCCACACUGGGACUGAGACACGGCCCAGACUCCUACGGGAGGCAGCAGUGGGAAUUUUGGACAAUGGGCGCAAGCCUGAUCCAGCCAUGCCGCGUGCGGGAAGAAGGCCUCGGUUGUAA